ensembl:lncRNA
CAUGGCUUCUGUGUUCUCAUGGCUUUCUCUGUUCACAGCUACACAGGUUGGGUCUGAUAUCACAGCUACACAGGUUGGAUCUGACAUCACAGUUACACAGGUUAGGUCUGAUAUCACAGCCACACAGGUUGGAUCUGACAUCACAGUUACACAGGUUGGGUCUGAUAUCACAGCUACACAGGUUGGAUCUGACAUAACAGCUACACAGGUUGGGUCUGACAUCACAGGUUGGGUCUGACAUCACAGCUACUCAGGUUGGAUCUGACAUCACAGCUACACAGGUUGGGUCUGAUAUCACAGCUACACAGGUUGGGUCUGAUAUCACAGCUACACAGGUUGGGUCUGACAUCACAGCUACAC